CAGUGCCUGGCAGGAGCAGAGCGGGCUUCCAGGGAGGUAUUCACCUGGUCAGCGUCAGGAACCAUCCUAACUGAGGCCUCGGUGAGUGCUUUUUGUGUGACUGGACAGUGAAGCUGUGUGAAUGACCUGGCUAGUGCUCGGUGUACUCCUAAUUAAAGUGUCUUUUACUCUGUGUUCCCAGGCUCCCUCUUUCCCUUCGGUUGCCGUGUGUGUGCCAGACACCUCUGGCAGGACUAACCCUGUGGCUUUUAUGUCCAAUGUGCUGUGCUGUGUGCCUGCAGAAUUGCCACGAGAGGAAAUACUUCAGAGGGGCUUCCCUCCAGAUAAGCCCUGAAUAUGCCAGGAGGUUUCAGCCGGGAGGAAAGGAGCUGUGGAAGAAAAGCAGCCUAAAAAUAGCCAGCGGGGAUCAUCAGGUUUUCCAGGCAAGAAGAACAAGGAGAGAGAUGAGGGAAUCGGGUUCCAAUUCCUAAUGAUUUGGUGGGUGCAGGAAUGAUUUGUGUGUGUUUUCCAGUCCCUUUUGAUUCCUGAGAUGAUUUUAAAAUGAUGGCUUUAGCAAUCAACUAAAUCGGAGAUGUUGUUUUUGAGAGGAAAUGAUGCCAAAUAAAUGCAGAGUUUUGGGUCA